CACAUGCAGUCGAGCGGUAGCACAGAGAGCUUGCUCUCGGGUGACGAGCGGCGGACGGGUGAGUAAUGUCUGGGAAACUGCCUGAUGGAGGGGGAUAACUACUGGAAACGGUAGCUAAUACCGCAUAACGUCGCAAGACCAAAGUGGGGGACCUUCGGGCCUCAUGCCAUCAGAUGUGCCCAGAUGGGAUUAGCUGGUAGGUGGGGUAACGGCUCACCUAGGCGACGAUCCCUAGCUGGUCUGAGAGGAUGACCAGCCACACUGGAACUGAGACACGGUCCAGACUCCUACGGGAGGCAGCAGUGGGGAAUAUUGCACAAUGGGCGCAAGCCUGAUGCAGCCAUGCCGCGUGUGUGAAGAAGGCCUUCGGGUUGUAAAGCACUUUCAGCGGGGAGGAAGGCGGUGAGGUUAAUAACCUCAUCGAUUGACGUUACCCGCAGAAGAAGCACCGGCUAACUCCGUGCCAGCAGCCGCGGUAAUACGGAGGGUGCAAGCGUUAAUCGGAAUUACUGGGCGUAAAGCGCACGCAGGCGGUCUGUCAAGUCGGAUGUGAAAUCCCCGGGCUCAACCUGGGAACUGCAUUCGAAACUGGCAGGCUAGAGUCUUGUAGAGGGGGGUAGAAUUCCAGGUGUAGCGGUGAAAUGCGUAGAGAUCUGGAGGAAUACCGGUGGCGAAGGCGGCCCCCUGGACAAAGACUGACGCUCAGGUGCGAAAGCGUGGGGAGCAAACAGGAUUAGAUACCCUGGUAGUCCACGCUGUAAACGAUGUCGAUUUGGAGGUUGUGCCCUUGAGGCGUGGCUUCCGGAGCUAACGCGUUAAAUCGACCGCCUGGGGAGUACGGCCGCAAGGUUAAAACUCAAAUGAAUUGACGGGGGCCCGCACAAGCGGUGGAGCAUGUGGUUUAAUUCGAUGCAACGCGAAGAACCUUACCUGGUCUUGACAUCCACAGAACUUACCAGAGAUGCUUUGGUGCCUUCGGGAACUGUGAGACAGGUGCUGCAUGGCUGUCGUCAGCUCGUGUUGUGAAAUGUUGGGUUA
rnacentral:rRNA from 1 species